rnacentral:tRNA from 1 species
GCCCGGAUGGCGGAAUAGGUAGACGCGUUGGACUUAAAAUCCAAUGACCAGUAAUGGUUGUGCCGGUUCGAUUCCGGCUUCGGGUA